CUAUGUUCCAUAUCGAUCACAUCGGUUUACUGGAGCUGUUCAACUUGCCUUCACUUACCAUUUGCUCGACUAGCUUGUCAUGAGCGUUUAAAAUUUCACUUUCUGACGGUGUCCGAAAUAAUCAAAGUGACGGGGUUGCCUGUGUCGGCCAAAACCAUGCGACACGUUAAAAACAUAUUUGAACGGAAUUUGUUGAUGAUCUGAAAUCGCAUCCGAAAAUCAGUCGAUUGAACCUGCCAACUCUUGCGAAUUUGCAACGUCUGCGCCCAUCUGACCACUUCUACGUAUCGCAGGCAUCUGCUGCUGCCCGGGAAACCCCAAACAACACAGAAGACCCGCGACCACCCGCAGCAACCAAAAUAGUACACCCGUCGACGAUCUCCAUCAACUUGCAGUGACGAUAAAUUGAAAUGUCCUAAAUUGGUAUAAGUUACUUACUGCACAUUUAAACAUUCUUUUCUCAUCAGGUGGACUUUGAAAACGUGAAAUAAGAAGGCAAAUGAGAUUAGAUUACAAAUCUAUAACGAAUGAAAAAAUCCACUUAUCUUUCGUCUUGUUGAUAGUUUCGGACUUUCGGUUUGAUUUAAUAAUUUUAUGUAAACUUUGCUUGUCCUGGCGAUUGACU